GUACACAGGCACAUCACAAUCUGUUGAGGAGAUUGUAAUUUUCAGUCCUUGGAUCCAAGUGCAGGAUGGGAUAAACAACCAGGAACAGAAGGUGAGUGAAGUGUAAAAAUAAAAAACAGUAAGGAAGAAACUCUAUUAAAAGAAGCCCUAUGCGUUUCGUCCAAUAUGGCAAGAACUUCUUUAGGGGCACGAAACAAAAGUCCUUUCCUUCCCACAGCAUACUGGUAUAAGUCCG